UCUGAGGCCUCCUAUAAAAGCACAAAAUGCUUAUGUUUCCCUCGUUAAUGCUGCUUCGUUCCCACUCGGUCUGCUCGCCAGGAGGUCAGAAGGGGGUCCUGGCUUCCCCUUGGGAAUCCCAUGCGUGGAGGCAGCUUGCACCAAGUAAGGCUGCUCGUUUGAAGGAUUGUGCAUAGCGUAGAGCUGGGGGAAGUCCUGGCAUCUCAACUCCUAGGUUUGGUCUGCAUAGUCCAAUUGCUUCUGCUUUCAGCUGAGUCAAACUCACUGUUUAGGGGAAAGUGGAAAAGGUUGUGUGUGUUUUUUGGAAAGUCAGAGCAACCCGCAUGUGCACAAAGACUGUCUCCUAUUGACUUGGCAAAGAAGCCCCAUGCUCGCAAGGGUCCGCAGCCUACUGCAAACACCCCUCCAGCACCCCUUAUUCAAAAUCUGCUUCUCGUUGUCAUUUCUAGCCUCAGAAAUUUCCCCCUGAGUCCUGGCAGGAUCUAACGAAAAGAAAACGUAAUACUCAUAUAACUUCUCAACAACAUGGGUUUUGCUCAGUUCCUUGCUGUUGUUAUAUGAUAAAGAGCAAACACUUGAGAAAUGUUUAUUUUAAUGCCCUUGUGGAACCACGUUCCUAUCCCUGGAAAAAGCCGGCAAAAAUUAAUGUAUGUUGCUCACGUGUAAGUACAAACAGGCUUAUUUAAACAGAAUGUUCAGUAUUGGUGGAUGCUGUGGAAAAAUGGCAUUUCGUAACAGAGUGAUUUGACUUGUAAAACAGCCACAAAACAUUGAAAACCGUUCUGGUGUUUGCAGGGGGGAAACACAGGCUUUGGACACAUUUUUAUUUUUUUCCUUCUUUUGCCAGUAUUCAAAACUUAGUGAUGUAUUUAUGUUUGCCAUAUUGUGGGAUUGUCUUCAGAGCCUUUAAAAAAGACGAAAAAAGAAAAAGGGUCCUAUGUUUCCCAGAUAUGGGACCUCAGCUUUCUAGUUUAAACCAGGGUCUCAAAGUGGCAGCUUUUCACGGGAACAUGUGAAAACCUUCUUCCAACAGAGAAAAUGAGGGCAGUUAUCAGUCCUGGGCCCUCUGAUACGGCACAAAGAGGUACUGUGAGCAGGGUUCUCCGGAAAGCAGAUGAUGGAUAAGCCUCGCUGAUGCGAAUCCCUGACCCAGUUUCCGCAGCAGACUGGCUAAGGAACAUGAAAGUGCUGCCGAGUUUGGAGAAAAGGCUCCGCAGGCAGGCCAGGGCAUGAAGGCUAACGACAAACUCUGUGUCUCCACCACCACCUUCUACCCUCUGCCCAUCCUUUAUCCCACGUGAGGUUCUUGGGAAGCACCAAUUCAUCCCCUGGGUUUGCAAGGAGCUGGCACAUCCUUCAACCGAUCUCAUUUUGGGUAUGGAAAACAGGAGAUUGGGGGGAUGCUAAUAUUUUUGCUAUCCCCUAGUGCUGGGCUGGGGGUCAAUGACAUCUGGCUGAGAGCCUCCCCAAGCCACGGCACAUCGAGAAUGGGGGCUGAGAUAAAACCUGCUUUAUAGCAUGAGCGUAAACAGCUCCUGAGUCAGCUGCCCUGGGGGGGUGGAGGCUGCUCCAUCACUUGAGAUCACUUGGCUCGGUGCUUGAUGUGCUCUUCCAAACGUAAUUGUUAGUACAGGGGCUGCUUAUUGGGUUUCUCUGCGUGCAUUUGUGUGGUGGGGAAGAUUAAUUCUCCCUGCUGCAGGGGUCACUGGAUGAGGCCAUGCAGAAGGUCUCACUAGGACAGGGGGUUCAGAAAGGUGCAGGGACACCAGACCCUCAGCUCCAACAUGAAAGCAAGAAGGGAAAUGAGUGCCUUAUCCUGCUCCCCCCUGGACUGCCGCAUAAAUUCCAGUGUUCAGAAACAUGUGGCUCCCUCUUGGCCUUGCAACGUGCAAAUCUAGGAUCUCGCCAAGCGAAAAUACUCCUUCAAAUGCCUGUUUCGUGCUCCUAGAAUAUUCUUCAGGCCCAGCAGCAACCUCUCCUCUGACACAGAUUUAAUGUUAGGAGUCUGUUGGCUCCAGCUCAGCAAAGCACCAGGUCAUCGGCCAUGCUCACGCAUUCAUAACUCGCUCCCUCUUUAUAUCUUAUUGGACACUUAGGCCCUUGGGAGACGGCUGUUUGGAUCAAGGAGCUGAGUUGGUUUUGUUCCUGUUUGUUUUGCUGGCUGUCCAAAUCAAUAAUAGGUUAAAGAUGUCCUGCUGAUUAGCCAUAACAUCCCGGCAGCUCUAUUUGUUCUGUCACAGUAGAGAUCGGGGUCCUGGGGUGCUAAGGAAAGAGGACACCAGCUCCGCCAUGAGGAGAGGCUUCUGGUCUUAAGAAAAGGGGUGUCAAGUAUGAAGUGGCCUUAAAAAAUGGACUGGUGGCCCAGCUUUCCCCAUCUAUUAAGGGAGAGAUGGCUGAAAAACUGUAACAAGUAGAAAACAUAUGGAGGGGAAAAUUAUAUGUGAAUUGGAGGCCUUGAGUCCAAGAAGGAGGUGUCAUGCCCUUGGGAGAGAUGUAGGGUGAGAAAGGACAAGCUUGAGAUAUGUUGUUAUGUAUGAAACCAUGAAGAAGUGACCUCCAGCACCUGAAGAACUGCACAGAAGUUCAUUUAAACCUAUCAAACAUGUGCAAAGCUUCACGUCAGCCCCUCUGCUUUCUGUCUUGCACCCUUACUGCAAACCCAAGGGUGUUCAGAUCUCCUCUCUGUGCCCUAUUCCCAGCCUCUUGUGUCUGAAAGCAUAAGGGAUAGCAUCAUUUUCCACAAGGAAUUGGGGCUGCCCAGUGGUCUGCAUCUGGCAGGCUCUACACACUUCAGAACAGAAAAAGAAAUGACAGAUCUGUCCAACUCAAUAUCUAUCUGUGGGCAUAUAUACACACACAUAAAAAAUGUGUAUGUAUAAAUAUUAUAUGUAUGAGGAAGCUUGUCUAGAACCGCAGCAUGCAACUUUUCUCUGUCAGCAGGCUUUCCCCCAAGCUGGGCUUACACAUGGGGACCAGAUGUGGCCAUCCGAAAAGAUCUGUUCGUUUCUAUGCUCCCUCUUUUUCCCCCUCCUGCUUAAGUACAGCAUGAGACAUAUGGGCCAACCAUCCAUCUGAGGCUAAGUGGAAACCAAGAGUGAUUGCUUACAAUGCCAUAAAUAGCUAAAUAGCCGUUUUCAAUAGUAAAUGGGGAUAUGUGAAUUCAGAAUGAACUCUCCAAACAGUUUGUAGACAUUCCAGUUCCUUGUUUUAAUAUCUUCGUGCGCCUUUUUUCCCCCACUCUUAGCUCCUCUUGGUGGGAGGUGACACAUUAACAAUGCUUCCCAUGAGCAAGGGGCCCACUCUGGUUAUCUAAAGCAGAACGAAAUAAAGGCUAGGACUCUUCAAAAGGAGCCCAGCAGAACUGGAGGCCUCAGGCGUCUUGGGAGCCGUAUAUUCAAUUCUUUGAGGGGACCCUGAAAAAUCCCAUCCGCAUGAUAUUGGCAGUUGAUGCAAGGCUUGGUAGAUGCAUUGCCAGCUUAGAGACUUUGGAUUAACUUUCAAAGCUUUCAUGAGCUGCCUCAGCCAGCCACCCUUCUUCUUGACAGCAGGGAAAGCCAUCCAGAAAGACGAAUUCCCACUGCAUGGAAUGAAACUUUCUGUCAUUUUGCUAUUUGCUUUUGUCCCACAUCAGGAAGAAAUGACAAAUUUUUCACUGAGUGGAAGUUCUGGUGAAAUUUAGAGUCAGAAAUAUGGAAGCGACCUGAUUGAAAUGGACUGUUUCACGUUAUAGUCUAAACACUGUAAAAAGUUAUAUUAAACAUGGGUGUCAGAAUGAAAGACAAGGCUAGACUAACCAACAUGAGAAAGCUGGGAUGAAGCUUUGGGUUUCAAACUGAGGUUUUGCUGUCCAACUCUGACAAAAUCAAAAUUCUUCCACAAAUCAAGAUUUUGGCUGAAUUGGAAUUUACUGUUGGAAAGCUGUUCUGGGAACUUUAGCAUUCUGCCCUAAACACAAUUUGCUGUCACAUCCAUCACAUCCAGCACCUCUUUGCCUUCUGCAUGCCGAACUUGGGAUCCUGCUUUGAGGCUGGCCAUGCUUGGAGCAGGAGGUUGGGCUGGAGACCUCCCCAGGUUCCUUCUGACCAACACCUUCUGACCUCAGUGAUGCCAACAUUUUUGGGCAUGGGAAACAGAAACCUUGCUAACAACUAAUGGAGGAGGAAGAGGAACUGAAGAGGGGAGAAAAAGCAAGAUGGUAGAAGAAAUACGGAUCUGAACACCCCUUUGGGAACGUGGCAGCCCCAGCUGCCAGAAAGGCACAGGACCAGUGGGCUAUGCACCUAAUUAAGACAUAGAUAAGAGUCUUUAAUUUUGAUCUACAGCACAAGUCCUGCUGCAGAGAGCUGUCCCCUGAGCCCCGCAGCCGCUGGAUAAAUAGGUUGGGCAUUUGGUGUCGUAAUUCCAACAGUGCUCGGUAUUGGCUCGGCUCUGUUUUAUUCAAAGUCAGCGGGAAUUGCUGACUGCGAGCCAGCACAGCUCUCACAAUCCCUUUCUCUCACUAAUUACUUCUGGCUGCCGUGGAAGCCCCAAGGACUUCAAAGGGACGACACUGGAUUUGCACGAGACUGUCUCUCUGGAUCUUCCACCCCAGUUUCUCAGCCCAU